rnacentral:lncRNA from 1 species
AUUCAUCUAAAACAAUCAAAAUCCUCACAUGUGAAUGCCAUCAAAAGGACUUUUUCACGGCUUGUAUUGAAGCUGGGCUAACAAGAAAAAUUGGUUUUUCUAGAAUACAAAAUCCUUGAGUUAAGAGAGCUACCAAUAUUCAACAUUUAAACACAACUCUCUUCCUCACCAAUCUCACUUAUUUCCCAACUUCUUCCCUUUUCUUUUGCACUGAGCUCAUCUUCAUGCUUUUCUUCUUUUCUUUUCUUUUUUUCAUGUAUUUUUCUUUCAUAACAUUCGGGCUCAAUGCUUUUCAACUGCUUUUCAAUUUCCCCCUUACAACCCAAAACUUGAACCUUUUCAACACAUAUAGUUAAGCUCAUCCCAACUCAAGGUAAAGAAUUUCA